GACGAACGCUGGCGGCGUGCUUAACACAUGCAAGUCGAACGGAAAGGCCCUGCUUUUGUGGGGUGCUCGAGUGGCGAACGGGUGAGUAACACGUGAGUAACCUGCCCUUGACUGUGGGAUAACUCCAGGAAACUGGGGUUAAUACCGGAUAGGAGCUCCUGCUGCAUGGUGGGGGUUGGAAAGGUUCGGUGGUUGGGGAUGGACUGGCGGCUUAUCAGCUUGUGGGGGGGGUAGUGGCUUACAAAGGCUUUGACGGGUAGCCGGCCUGGGAGGGUGACCGGCCACAUUGGGCCUGGGAUGCGCCCCGGACUCCUCCGGGGGGCAGCGGUGGGAGUUAUUGCACGAUGGGCGGAGGCCGGAUGGAGGAACGCCGGGUCGGGGAUGCCGGCCUUCGGGUUGUAACCCGCUUUCGCCUGUGACGAACCGUGAGUGACGGUAAUUGGUAAAGAAGCACCGGCUAACUACGUG
rnacentral:rRNA from 1 species